rnacentral:rRNA from 1 species
UGGGGAGUAUUGGACAAUGGGGGCAACCCUGAUCCAGCAAUGCCGCGUGGGUGAUGAAGGCCUUCGGGUUGUAAAGCCCUUUCGGCGGGGACGAUGAUGACGGUACCCGCAGAAGAAGCCCCGGCUAACUUCGUGCCAGCAGCCGCGGUAAUACGAAGGGGGCUAGCGUUGUUCGGAAUGACUGGGCGUAAAGGGCGCGUAGGCGGCGAUCUUAGUCAGGCGUGAAAGCCCUGGGCUUAACCUAGGAAUUGCGUUUGAUACUGGGUUGCUAGAGUGCGGGAGAGGAUGGUGGAAUUCCCAGUGUAGAGGUGAAAUUCGUAGAUAUUGGGAAGAACACCGGUGGCGAAGGCGGUCAUCUGGACCGUUACUGACGCUGAGGCGCGAAAGCGUGGGGAGCAAACAGGAUUAGAUACCCACGUAGUCCCUGAGCGGGCUGGCAAGGCG